rnacentral:lncRNA from 13 species
AUGUCCCAUCCUCGUAUAAAUCCCCAGCAUGCUCUUCCCUCAAACCUGUUUGUUUCAGGGUCUUCACUCCCUGACAUGCUGUUAUUUGCUCAAGCACUGCACAUAGAACAUGACGUUGACCUGUGUCACUAUGACAAUCAAGCCUCUGAUGUAAGAGGAUUCCCCAGAUACAUUCCACAGCCACCUCUAAGUAGGCGCAGGCAGUGGAGGACACAAGGCUCCCAAGUGGGCCUGAGCCCACACAGGUCACACUCUCCCUGUCUGAGCAGCCCAGGAGGCCACAGAAGACACAAUUGUGCUGCUUCUGCUAAGGAGAGCUUGGAUCCACCUUGUCUCUGGGAACACACAUUUCCCCUUCCACUGCAGGCCCCAGCCAACAGGGAUAUGCUAUGGAAUACAACAUAA